GCAUGGCUGUCGUCAGCUUGUGUCGUGAGAUGUUGGGUUAAGUCCCGCAACGAGCGCAACCCUUGUUCCUUGUUGCCAGCGGGUUAUGCCGGGGACUCUUGGGAGACUGCCGGGGUCAAAUCGGAGGAAGGUGGGGAUGAAGUCAAGUCAUCAUGCCCCUUAUGUCCAGGGGUUCACACAUGCUACAAAGGGCGGUACAAAGGGGUGCGAUCCCGCGAGGGGGAGCGAAUCCCAAAAAGCCGGUCUCAGUUCGGAUUGGGGUCUGCAACUUGACCCCCUGAAGUCGGAGUCGCUUGUAAUCCCCGAGUCCCGCCAACGGC
rnacentral:rRNA from 1 species